rnacentral:pre_miRNA from 1 species
UCCUCAUUCCACGUACUCUCUCACCGGUCUGAGAGGCGAUAGAGUGUGUGCAAUGAAGAGA